AUGUCUCUUCCCAUUUAUUCAUGUAUACGUGGAAGGCAGUUGGGAUGAACAUGGAGGGCUGUUGGGAAGAUACGUGGCUGACAAACUUAGUCCACAAGACAACCAUUUACUAUAAAUAGGAAGUCUCAAUCAAACAUUCAAACUGUUCAGUUCAUUUCUAUUCUUCCUUCUUUCGAACUCCCUUCUAAUAAUUCUUUUAACUUUACUUUAAUAAUAAUAAUGCCCUACCCCGUUUUAAGUAUUGUAACUUCCGAUCACCGCUACCUUUUCCGAUUAAUCUGAAUCCUAUAACGCAUGUCAAGGCUCUGCCCGACUAAGUUCGUUUGGAUUCUAUCUCGGAACAUCGGGACAAGGUUGAUUUAGGGGUACUAUACUUAACACAAGUGCAAUAUAUAUUUUUAAUAGCCCAAAAGUUAUACCCAAAAUUUAUACCAGGAGAUUUUCUAGUUGAACCCUAAAGUUAUACAGUGGGUCCAUUCCUUUUUCUCACCAUUUUAUUCUCUUUUUGUGAGUUACCCAAAACUAUUAUUUAUUAUUUAUUAUUUCUAUUUUAUAAACAAACUUUCAUCAAAAGUCAUGCCUAUUAUUUUAUUUACCCAAUAGGGAACCAUAGUUGAGACACCCAAGUAAUCCUGCACAACCCCUAAAAUUUCCAGAACAAUCAGAAUCAGGAUCAGGGCCCCUAAAACUCAGAGGGGGAUAAACUCUAGCCAACGAUUAUCCUCAUAACUAAUUGUAAAAUUCGAAAAUUGAAAAACUGACGACACAGCAAGCCUACAUGCACGAAGGGCUACUCUAUGAAAGUAGGGUGACCACUCGCGUAGCGCGACGCCUAUAGGGGUACCCCCUCGCGCUACGCGACGGUGUCAAAAUUCGGGUAUAAAUAGAGGGGGUUGGGACUUGAAUUCUGUCUUUGGAACGACGUAAAUCCGAGUUACGUAGAUCCAGUUAUCACAGAAACAGUCCAACACACACACACUAAUAUCGAAUCGCUGCCGCAGAACAGGGUAAUUACUCGAUCGCUAUUACGAUUCAGUUUCCGGGAUCAAUGUACCUAAAGAAUGUCUAAGUGCCGCCCACAUUGGGUUAUGCUUUGUCGUUGUCGAUAAUUCGAUAAUGAGUUGAAGCAUUGUACUUUGUCGUUGUCGAUAAUUCGAUAAUGAGUUGAAGUACUAUACUUUGUCGUUUGUCGUUAAUACGAUAAAUGAGUUGAAGUAUUGCACUUUGUCAUUCAUUGUGAGAAUUUGAUCUCGGGAAAUUAUCGUAACUGCUGUAUUGAGCAUUAACCCGGUUUUUGUGAAAUUCGUUAAGAUUGAUUUAGGUUUUUCACCAAAACUUAUUCCAUUAUGUUAAAACCACCAGAAAUACUCCCAACUACACCCUUACAAUCAAACAAACUAUUAAAUCAUCAGAAGAUCCAGAAUAAUAAAGUACAUGCUUAAUUAUCGGGAAAAGUAGAAUCAAGAAGUUUGUUAAUUCACUCCUGCAUGCUGAUUU
rnacentral:lncRNA from 1 species